rnacentral:rRNA from 1 species
UACGAAGGGGGCUAGCGUUGCUCGGAAUCACUGGGCGUAAAGCGCACGUAGGCGGAUCUUUAAGUCAGGGGUGAAAUCCCGGAGCUCAACUCCGGAACUGCCUUUGAUACUGGGGAUCUUGGAGUCCGGGAGAGGUGAGUGGAACUGCGAGUGUAGAGGUGAAAUUCGUAGAUAUUCGCAAGAACACCAGUGGCGAAGGCGGCUCACUGGCCCGAUACUGACGCUGAGGUGCGAAAGCGUGGGGAGCAAACAGG